rnacentral:rRNA from 1 species
AACGAACGCUGGCGGCAUGCCUAACACAUGCAAGUCGAACGAUUGCCUUCGGGUGAUAGUGGCGCACGGGUGCGUAACGCGUGGGAAUCUGCCCUCAGGUUCGGAAUAACAGUUGGAAACGACUGCUAAUACCGGAUGAUGACGUUAAGUCCAAAGAUUUAUCGCCUGAGGAUGAGCCCGCGUAGGAUUAGCUAGUUGGUGUGGUAAGAGCGCACCAAGGCGACGAUCCUUAGCUGGUCUGAGAGGAUGAUCAGCCACACUGGGACUGAGACACGGCCCAGACUCCUACGGGAGGCAGCAGUGGGGAAUAUUGGACAAUGGGCGAAAGCCUGAUCCAGCAAUGCCGCGUGAGUGAUGAAGGCCUUAGGGUUGCAAAGCUCUUUUACCAGGGAUGAUAAUGACAGUACCUGGAGAAUAAGCUCCGGCUAACUCCGUGCCAGCAGCCGCCGUAA